rnacentral:rRNA from 1 species
AUUGAACGCUGGCGGCAUGCCUUACACAUGCAAGUCGAACGGCAGCGGACCUUCGGGUGCCGGCGAGUGGCGAACGGGUGAGUAAUAUAUCGGAACGUACCUUUCAGUGGGGGAUAACGUAGCGAAAGUUACGCUAAUACCGCAUAUUCUGUGAGCAGGAAAGCAGGGGAUCGCAAGACCUUGCGCUGAUUGAGCGGCCGAUAUCAGAUUAGCUAGUUGGCGGGUAAAGGCCCACCAAGGCGACGAUCCGUAGCUGGUCUGAGAGGAUGAUCAGCCACACUGGAACUGAGACACGGUCCAGACUCCUACGGGAGGCAGCAGUGGGGAAUAUUGGACAAUGGGGGCAACCCUGAUCCAGCCAUGCCGCGUGUGUGAAGAAGGCC